rnacentral:rRNA from 1 species
ACCUGCCUGGUAGCGGGGGAUAACUAUUGGAAACGGUAGCUAAUACCGCAUAAGAGUAGAUGUUGCAUGACAUUUACUUAAAAGGUGCAAUUGCAUCACUACCAGAUGGACCUGCGUUGUAUUAGCUAGUUGGUGGGGUAACGGCUCACCAAGGCGACGAUACAUAGCCGACCUGAGAGGGUGAUCGGCCACACUGGGACUGAGACACGGCCCAGACUCCUACGGGAGGCAGCAGUAGGGAAUCUUCGGCAAUGGACGGAAGUCUGACCGAGCAACGCCGCGUGAGUGAAGAAGGUUUUCGGAUCGUAAAGCUCUGUUGUAAGAGAAGAACGAGUGUGAGAGUGGAAAGUUCACACUGUGACGGUAUCUUACCAGAAAGGGACGGCUAACUACGUGCCAGCAGCCGCGGUAAUACGUAGGUCCCGAGCGUUGUCCGGAUUUAUUGGGCGUAAAGCGAGCGCAGGCGGUUAGAUAAGUCUGAAGUUAAAGGCUGUGGCUUAACCAUAGUACGCUUUGGAAACUGUUUAACUUGAGUGCAAGAGGGGAGAGUGGAAUUCCAUGUGUAGCGGUGAAAUGCGUAGAUAUAUGGAG